rnacentral:rRNA from 1 species
UACGUAGGGGGCUAGCGUUGUCCGGAAUCAUUGGGCGUAAAGCGCGUGUAGGCGGUUCGGUAAGUCCGCUGUGAAAGUCGGGGGCUCAACCCUCGGAUGCCGGUGGAUACUGUCGGGCUUGAGUACGGAAGAGGCGAGUGGAAUUCCUGGUGUAGCGGUGAAAUGCGCAGAUAUCAGGAGGAACACCGGUGGCGAAGGCGGCAUCCUGGACCAACACUGACACUGAUGAGCGAAAGCCAGGGGAGCAAACGGG